UUUGGUGCUGCCGCUGCCCCACUGCAUAGUAAAGCGGUGCGGUGUGGGUUGUCGGCAGUCUUUUCUCGAGAUUUCCUUUCCACCUCCGUCAUUUCCUUCCUUCUCUUCUUGGUUUCGGCCGCCAGCUCCUGUUCCACCUCCUGUUCGACUUCGAUUUGUCUGCGAUGGUGCCGGGAUCAGCGCGUGGGUCUGCGCGGCCGUGCCUGUGCUCGAGUUCCUGCUGAUUGAGGAGUCGUCGGUGGGAGGGCGCGUGCUGGUGGUUGAGGGGUUGGCUGUGGGCGGGCCUGUGGUGCGCUUUCUGCGCGCAGAGGCGAUGUUGAUAGGCGACGCGGCGGCCAGCGCUUCUUCUGAUUUCUCCUGUGGCCGGCGGAGAUCGGUGCUGCCGUCUACAUCCUCUUCUCCCUCGCACUUUCGCCCUUCUCUUCGCCCCAGGCAGUCGGCGGCGCGGAGGAGGAGCUCGGCUUUCCCGAGGCGACCCAGAUCGCGGCCUGUGCUACUUUCCCGACUGUUGCGACGGCCUCGCCAGGAUUCCUCCAGCUCGGGCGCGUUCUCAAAAAAAAUCUGAUUAUUUCGAGAGGCGUAACUCUCCUAGAUGGGCACGCGGUCGAUUCGCCUCGCCAGGCUGAUGGUGGAGCGGUCGCAGAUGAGCUAGGCCACCGUGGGAAGGAAAAAAGAGUAGUCUCUGGCGGGCGGGGGCUUGGCCGAUGGUGCCGGCUGCCGAAAUCUACGGAAAGCUGGUCCCUGGAUGGGAAAGCCAAAAGCGGCAGGGCCUGCGAGGGGAUUGCGACGUUGUUCCCGCUGGAGGCUUCCUGCUGGUGUUUUCUGGGCUGGUGCUGGCGGGCACCAUGCAUGGUGUGCCUCGCGUUCGUCAUGCCAGUCUUCCUGCUCUUCAGCCAGGUGCUGGCCCGGUCACGUUCACCAUUGGGAUGGUCGUGAUGGGACUGACAGAUAUGUUAUAGUGCUUAUUUCUACUUCUUGCUGGUGAUGUAAUUAAUUUCAAGAACGUCUCGAUUGAGCAAUUGGCAAUGUUACAUUGCGCAAGAGCUAGGAUCAUUCACUAGCCGCUUUCUUCCAAAGGUAAAGAUGAAAAGGAUAUUUCAUUUCUAUUCGUAUGGCAAGCUCAUAAGGUGAAGUAGUAAUACAUAAUCUUCAUGGGAAAUUAUAUUUUCUUGCAAAGGUAACUUUUUUAGUCAUUGCUUUGCAAUAGAUGUCCAUUUUUUGUACUUCCUCUCUUACUUUUUGUAGGGUAUUGAGGUGUUGAAACAGUAGCAUAUUGAGCUUCAUAAGGGACUUAUAUCGAAUGUUUGGUCGAAUUUAAAUUCCACAGCUUUACUAGGCUACUCAUAUGACAUAUUGUUUAGUAGUUAUAUUUUUAUAUGUCCGGAACAUUAUCCAUUAUCAGCAUUGGGUCUGCCUUCAGAAUUGGCAUGUUGAAGUUUUUCCAUAGUAUAUAAUCUUUCUUUCAUUAGUUCAGAGUCAUGAAAUUCAUGAAUAAGAUUAUCACAUAGACAAAGGUUCAAUAUUGUCACAAUCAAGCUCUCCUUAGAAGUGUGUUAUCACAUCCUUCUCUUUAAAAAAUAGCUAAUGAAGGAUUUUGAAGGUUUGAGGGCCCAAUAUAUCCUUUCCUCAUUAUCUUCCAAUUAGUGUUAUAUGUGACCCGAAUUACUUAUGUAGAAUAUGGUUUACGGUUAAUUUUAUUGGAGGGGUUCAUACAUAGAUUUGCAGGUUAAACCCUGAAUACAUGCGUAAUGGUUUUCCUUCAGGAAGCAUGAAAAGGAUAAACACAGAUACGAGUGUGCAGAGGGAUGCGAUGUAUUGCACAGUACAUUCCUUUUCUCAUCAACUCUGUACUCUACAUACAUAUAAUACUCGCUUUCAGGUUCCUUGCACAUUCGACAUUAAUUAAUUGAGAUGCAAAAUUAUUUUGUAGUUCAUUGAAAGUAAAAUUUGCCAACUCAGUUGUGCUAGCUCCCAUAUGAUAUCCUGUUACUCUGCCAGGUUGACAUGUGUUGGCAAUGUUUAGCUAAACAAGUUAGUAGUAGUUCUCUGAGUGCUACAAAAUAAAUUAGAAAUAGUCCUCUUCCAAUGUCACAAUUUUUUGUUAUAUUAUACGCUACUCUGUUCGAUACAUAGUAAGUGUCGUGGUUUUAGUUUAAAAAAUGACCCAAGAAUUUCCUCUCGUGCACAGUAUUCUAUUCAGUGAAAGGUGACCAAGGAAAAGUGGUGUAUUUCUGCACACGAUUUGCAGAGAAAUAGAAAUAGUUAACCGAAUGAAAGUGUCAUAUAAAUUGUAAAGAACCCAUUUUGAGCUUUAAAUGCUUAAUUUAAAAUUUUGGCUGUCAUUCCUUCUCAGGUUUGCUGGUGAUGCAGACCUAUUCUACUCUUAGCGCAUAGGCUGUAGUUCAUGGUUAUUUUGAUGUAUCUGGCAACUACUCUUUCCUAUAAUAAAAGGAAAGUUGCAGGAUACACCUAUGAAUGUUUUAAAAUAUACAUGAUUUGAGAAAAAUAAAUACUUAGACACUAUUGCUUUUUGCUUUGUGCCAAUUUGAUGUUUUCUUUGUAUGAAAUAUGAUGAUAGGCCCACAAACCCACAGAGACCACUUUGGAUCACAUUGAACGAAUCAAUGGCAAACUAAAGCAUCGAAAUUUCAUGGGGAGCAUUGAUAAGAUCACCCACUUCAUUAGUAAAUAUUACAGGAUAAGGACCUAAGAAGAUGAACCGGAACAAGCCAAGUGCACCACCGAUGAGUCCAUCCGGUCCGAACCUCUACAGUACCAACCAGGCAGAGAUUGCGACGUUGCCUUCAGUUGUUUCUUUUUUAAUCUACUAGAUGUAUCCUAUGUACCGAAACUUACUAAAGUCCACAGUCAGUGACCUGCAUAUGCAUAUCAGUUGUACACAUUGUAUGUAAAAACAAAAUGAUCAGUUUCGUGCCUUAGAUUUUCCCACAAUACAUAACAAUGUAUUUUUUAAAUGUAUGGCUUAUCGGCCAUUUACUA